UACGUAGGGGGCUAGCGUUGUCCGGAAUCAUUGGGCGUAAAGAGCGUGUAGGCGGCCCGGUAAGUCCGCUGUGAAAGUCGGGGGCUCAACCCUCGAAUGCCGGUGGAUACUGUCGGGCUAGAGUGCGGAAGAGGCGAGUGGAAUUCCUGGUGUAGCGGUGAAAUGCGCAGAUAUCAGGAAGAACACCUAUGGCGAAGGCAGCACUCUGGGACGGUACUGACGCUGAGACGCGAAAGCGUGGGGAGCGAACAGG
rnacentral:rRNA from 1 species